GGGCAGCACAGGGCGCCUGCAGUCUGCCUGUGGUGCGCACCGCCCCGCCUUAGCACCCACGGCCCGGGCUGGCCCGGCACCUCCACAUCGCCGCUUACCUUCCCCAGCUAAUGACGUGCUACCAGCCCGGCGCCCUGCAGACAUCAGUCGCAAACCGUGGUGGCCUUCCCAGGACCUCCGGUUUUCGAGGCCUCAGCCCAACCCUCCCCCCUGCCCCUGUCCUGGUCACGAAGACCAAGUGCCAGAGCGUCCCAGCCCGGCCCGCGGCCCAGGCGGCCUUACCUUUCGCUUCGUUAUCCGAGGUGGGUAGGAGCAAGAGGACAGUGGCCUGCCAACAGGUUGUUCCAGGCGGUAGGCGGCUUUGGGGUCGCCCCAGGAGUCCAGCUGCGAGAGACCAAUGGGAUUUGAAAAUGGCCUUGAUGAUUCAGACGGCCGUGACGUCAGCGGGGUCAAGUUGUCGGCAGGCGGAGCGCUCAGCAUGGAGUAACAGCGCCACCUAGCAGCUGCCUCGGGGGAAUAUUUCUGAAGAAAAAGACCGAACCUGCAGGGACUUUGAUCGGAUUCGGGGAGUCGCAUAUCAACACGAAAAAUGAGGACACCGGACGUAACCAAAUCCGACCCAGAGCGAUUGGGCUGGAAGCAUUUUUUUUUUUUUUUUAAGGAGAAGUGAGGCCGGUCUCUUUUUGUUAUUGUUGUUAUUGUUUAAUAAAGGGAAGGAAAAAAAGGUAAAUACAUGUUUCAGAUAGUUCUUUCCGUUUCUCCAUCGCUUUUCUCCCAAAGCGAACAAAACUCUCCACCCCUUCCUUCCUCAGGAAACGGAAUCCGGAGAAUAACUUGUCUUUCCGGUAGCCCCGCAUUUUUCUCUGGACAGAGCCUGGGGUUUCGACUUUCCGAAGUGCUGAAGCCAAGCCGGGAAAGGACCCUAAUGCCGAGCGCCCUGGCGUGGUCGAGUAAGGAGGCUGGACCGCUUCUAGGGAGGCCCAAGCCAGCGCGGCCAGAAGAGGACUGUGGAAAAAAAUCUGCUGAAUUCCCUCACCCACGGACUGAAAGACAAGGCGCAGGGGUCCCUGAACCCCCAGAAAAUUGGAAGGAGAUAUGGAGUGUGUGACUUGCUUGCAGAACGGACAGGGGAGAUUUGAAAUUAGUUUUGUGUUUUCAUUUGCAGGGGUCGCCUGGCCUCAGCAUGGGGGUUGUCCCGGGCAAGGUUAGGCUGUUUAGGCCCCAGACCAGACUUGGGACAGCCUGGGCAGUAGUCAAUCCAGGGAGCCAUUUGUCCGACCGCCCAUCCCAGGGGAAACAGCCCAGACUUUAUGGCCACUCUGUUUGUAUUAUCUGCAUAAGUCUUUCCCCACCAGUUUGAUCGAAACCGUUCCCUUUUACGAGGACCCAACGAAAAUUUCCCGUCAUAUUUAUCAGCUGAGGAUAAAAAUUUAGUAUGGGAACUGAUAUUUCCUCAUUUAUGGGACGAUGAAAUUAAAGACCAAAGCAAUUGAGAAUUAUA